rnacentral:tRNA from 1 species
GGAGGGGUGUCCGAGUGGUUGAUGGAGGUGGUCUUGAAAACCAUUAGGCGGCAUGUCCGUCUCGUGGGUUCGAAUCCCACCCCCUCCG